rnacentral:rRNA from 1 species
GGGCAGCAUGAGUAGCAAUACUUGAUGGCGACCGGCAAACGGGUGAGGAACACGUACACAACUUCCUCAAGCGGGGAAUAGCCCAGAGAAAUUUGGAUUAAUACCCAUAAUAUAUUUGAUAAGGCAUCUUAUUAAUAUUAAAGCUUCGGCACUUGAUGAUGGGUAUGCGGCUGAUUAGAUAGUUGGCGGGUAACGGCCCACCAAGUCUACGAUCAGUAGCUGAUGUGAGAGCAUGAUCAGCCACACGGGCACUGAGACACGGGCCCGACUCCUACGGGAGGCAGCAGUAAAGAAUAUUGGACAAUGGACGAAAGUCUGAUCCAGCCAUGCCGCGUGAAGGAUUAAGGUCCUCUGGAUUGUAAACUUCUUUUAUAUGGGACGAAAAAAGGGCAUUCUUGUUCACUUGACGGUACCAUAUGAAUAAGCACCGGCUAACUCCGUG